rnacentral:rRNA from 1 species
AUUGAACGCUGGCGGCAGGCCUAACACAUGCAAGUCGGACGGUAGCACAGGGGAGCUUGCUCCUCGGGUGACGAGUGGCGGACGGGUGAGUAAUGUCUGGGGAUCUGCCCGAUAGAGGGGGAUAACCACUGGAAACGGUGGCUAAUACCGCAUAAUGUCGCAAGACCAAAGAGGGGGACCUUCGGGCCUCUCACUAUCGGAUGAACCCAGAUGGGAUUAGCUAGUAGGCGGGGUAACGGCCCACCUAGGCGACGAUCCCUAGCUGGUCUGAGAGGAUGACCAGCAACACUGGAACUGAGACACGUUCCAGACUCCUACGGGAGGCAGCAGUGGGGAAUAUUGCACAAUGGGCGCAAGCCUGAUGCAGCCAUGCCGCGUGUAUGAAGAAGGCCUUCGGGUUGUAAAGUACUUUCAGCGGGGAGGAAGGCGAUGUGGUUAAUAACCGCGUCGAUUGACGUUACCCGCAGAAGAAGCACCGGCUAACUCCGUGCCAGCCGCCGCGGUAA